UAAUACGUAGGAGGCGAGCGUUAUCCGGAUUUACUGGGCGUAAAGAGGGUGUAGGCGGUCUUUCAAGUUGGAUGUGAAAUCUCCCGGCUUAACUGGGAGGGGUCAUUCAAUACUGUUAGGCUAGAGGGCAGCAGAGGGAGGUGGAAUUCCCGGUGUAGUGGUGAAAUGCGUAGAUAUCGGGAGGAACACCAGUGGCGAAGGCGGCCUCCUGGGCUGUUGCUGACGCUGAGGCCCAAAAGCGUGGGGAGCAAACAGGAUUAGAUACCCUGGUAGUCCACGCCAUAAACUAUGGACACUAAGUAUAGGGAGUAUCGACCCUCUCUGUGCUGAAGCUAACGCUUUAAGUGUCCCGCCUGGGGACUACGGCCGCAAGGUUA
rnacentral:rRNA from 1 species